rnacentral:rRNA from 1 species
GACGAACGCUGGCGGCGUGCUUAACACAUGCAAGUCGAACGGAAAGGCCCUGCUUUUGUGGGGUGCUCGAGUGGCGAACGGGUGAGUAACACGUGAGUAACCUGCCCUUGACUUUGGGAUAACUUCAGGAAACUGGGGCUAAUACCGGAUAGGAGCUCCUGCUGCAUGGUGGGGGUUGGAAAGUUUCGGCGGUUGGGGAUGGACUCGCGGCUUAUCAGCUUGUUGGUGGGGUAGUGGCUUACCAAGGCUUUGACGGGUAGCCGGCCUGAGAGGGUGACCGGCCACAGUGGGACUGAGAUACGGCCCAGACUCCUACGGGAGGCAGCAGUGGGGAAUAUUGCACAAUGGGCGGAAGCCUGAUGCAGCAACGCCGCGUGCGGGAGGACGGCCUUCGGGUUGUAAACCGCUUUCGCCUGUGACGAAGCGUGAGUGACGGUAAUGGGUAAAGAAGCACCGGCUAACUACGUGC